rnacentral:rRNA from 1 species
UAAAUCAGUUAUAGUUUAUUUGAUAAUCGAUACUACAUGGAUAACCGUGGUAAUUCUAGAGCUAAUACAUGCGGAAAAGACUCGACUGCUCUCGCGGAAGAGUUGUAUUUAUUAGAUACAAAACCAGCACGGGCUCGCAAGGGUCCGGAAACGCUUGGUGAGUCAUAAUAACUAUGCGAAUCGCAUGGCCUCGUGCCGGCGAUGCAUCAUUCAAAUUUCUGCCCUAUCAACUUUCGAUGGUAAGGUAUUGGCUUACCAUGGUUGCAACGGGUGACGGGGGAUUAGGGUUCGAUUCCGGAGAGGGCGCCUGAGAGAUGGCGACCACAUCCAAGGAAGGCAGCAGGCGCGCAAAUUACCCAAUUUUGACACAAAGAGGUAGUGACAAUAAAUAACAAUACGAGGCCUUCACAGGCUUUGUAAUUGGAAUGAGUACAAUUUAAAUCUCUUAACGAGUAACAAUUGGAGGGCAAGUCUGGUGCCAGCAGCCGCGGUAAUUCCAGCUCCAAUAGCAUAUAUUAAAUUUGCUGCAGUUAAAAAGCUCGUAGUUGGACUUGUGGGGUGUCGCGGCCUUGCGGUCGCCCGCGAGGGUGUACCGUGGCCGUUGUGUGUCGGGUGCGUGGGCUCUUCGGGGUUCGCGUGGCUCGGCACGCACGAUUUGGACACUUCCCAUCCUUCCGAAGUCGCGGGGUGCCCUUCACUGCGGUGCUCCGAGUUGAAUUCGGGACGUUUACUUUGAAAAAAUUAGAGUGUUCAAAGCCGGCGGGAUUGCUUGGAUACAUUAGCAUGGAAUAAUGGAAUAGGACUUUGGUCUUAUUUUGUUGGUUUCCGAGACCGAAGUAAUGAUUAAUAGGGACGGUUGGGGGCAUUAGUAUUUAAUUGUCAGAGGUGAAAUUCUUGGAUUUAUGAAAGACUAACUUCUGCGAAAGCAUUUGCCAAGGAUGUUUUCAUUAAUCAAGAACGAAAGUCAGGGGAUCGAAGACGAUCAGAUACCGUCGUAGUCCUGACCAUAAACUAUGCCGACUAGGGAUCGGUGGGGGCAUUUUUCACACCCCAUCGGCACCUUACGAGAAAUCAAAGUUUUUGGGUUCUGGGGGGUGUAUGGUCGCAAGGCUGAAACUUAAAGGAAUUGACGGAAGGGCACCACCAGGAGUGGAGCCUGCGGCUUAAUUUGACUCAACACGGGGAAACUCACCAGGUCCGGACAUAGUAAGGAUUGACAGAUUGAUAGCUCUUUCUUGAUUCUAUGGGUGGUGGUGCAUGGCCGUUCUUAGUUGGUGGAGUGAUUUGUCUGGUUUAUUCCGAUAACGAACGAGACCUUAACCUGCUAAAUAGUCACGCGAACCUCGGUUCGCGGCUUGCGACUUCUUAGAGGGACUAUUGGCGCUUAGCCAAUGGAAGUUUGAGGCAAUAACAGGUCUGUGAUGCCCUUAGAUGUUUUGGGCCGCACGCGCGCUACACUGAUGAAGGCAGAGAGUUUACAACCUGCGCCGGAAGGCGUGGGUAAUCUUUCAAACUUCAUCGUGCUGGGGAUAGAUCUUUGUAAUUGUCGAUCUUAAACGAGGAAUUCCUAGUAAGCGCGAGUCAUCAGCUCGCGUUGAUUACGUCCCUGCCCUUUGUACACACCGCCCGUCGCUACUACCGAUUGAAUGGUUUAGUGAGAUCUCGGGACUGACGUCGCGACGCUGGCAACAGCGGCUGCGACGACCG